UACAUAUGGGGCGAGCGUUAUCCGGAUUUAUUGGGUGUAAAGGGUUCGUAGGCGGGAAAGUAAGUCAGGAUGUGAAAUCCCUCGGCUCAACCGAGGAACUGCGAUUGAAACUAUUUUUCUUGAGUACUGGAGGGGAAAGUGGAAUUCUUAGUGUAGCGGUGAAAUGCGUAGAUAUUAGGAAGAACACCAGUGGCGAAGGCGACUUUCUGGACAGUAACUGACGCUGAGGAACGAAAGUGUGGGGAGCAAACAGG
rnacentral:rRNA from 1 species